rnacentral:rRNA from 1 species
GACGAACGCUGGCGGCGUGCUUAACACAUGCAAGUCGAACGGAAAGGCCCUGCUUUUGUGGGGUGCUCGAGUGGCGAACGGGUGAGUAACACGUGAGUAACCUGCCCUUGACUUUGGGAUAACUUCAGGAAACUGGGGCUAAUACCGGAUAGGAGCUCCUGCUGCAUGGUGGGGGUUGGAAAGUUUCGGCGGUUGGGGAUGGACUCGCGGCUUCUCCGCCUGUUGGUGGGGUAGUGGCUUACCAAGGCUUUGACGGGUAGCCGGCCUGAGAGGGUGACCGGCCACAUGGGGACUGAGAUACGGCCCAGACGCCUACGGGAGGCAGGAGUGGGGAAUAUUGCACAAUGGGCGGAAGCCGGAUGCAGCAUCGCCGCGUGCUGGAUGACGGCCUUCGGGUUGGAAACCGCUUGCGCCUAUGACGAAGCGUGAGUGACGGUAAUGGGUAAAGAAGCACCGGCUAACUACGU